rnacentral:sRNA from 1 species
UAUUCUCCCCUACGGGGGAGGAUGAGAAGUUUCGACCAAGGUUCGACUCGAGCGUAGCGAGAGAACGUUGCCGCAGGCAACGGCCCGAAGGGCGAGGCGCUUUAGCGCCGAGUCAUCCUUCCCCCACUACUG